CACUCCUGCGGGAGGCAGCAGUGGGGAAUAUUGGACAAUGGGCGCAAGCCUGAUCCAGCCAUGCCGCGUGAGUGGUGAAGGCCCUAGGGUUGUAAAGCUCUUUCACCGGUGAAGAUAAUGACGGUAACCGGAGAAGAAGCCCCGGCUAACUUCGUGCCAGCAGCCGCGGUAAUACGAAGGGGGCUAGCGUUGUUCGGAUUUACUGGGCGUAAAGCGCACGUAGGCGGACUAUUAAGUCAGGGGUGAAAUCCCGGGGCUCAACCCCGGAACUGCCUUUGAUACUGGUAGUCUUGAGUUCGAGAGAGGUGAGUGGAAUUCCGAGUGUAGAGGUGAAAUUCGUAGAUAUUCGGAGGAACACCAGUGGCGAAGGCGGCUCACUGGCUCGAUACUGACGCUGAGGUGCGAAAGCGUGGGGAGCAAACAGGAUUAGAAACCCUGGUAGUCCCAUG
rnacentral:rRNA from 1 species